GCCGGGCAUGGUACUGCAUGCCUGUAGUCCCAGCUACCUGGGAGACUAAAGCAGGAAAAUUGCUUGAGUCCAGGAGUUUGAGGCCACAGUGAACUAUGAACAUGCCACUGCACUCUAGCCUGGGCAACAGGCAAUAGAGUGAGACCCUAUCUCAAAAAAAAAAAAAAAAAAGGUUCACCAUCAAUAUGUUGACCUCCCAGGAGCAGGAGACCACUAGGUUGCCUAAGGAGAGGUGAAUCGGCCCAAGUCAGAAAAAGAGCAGGCCAAAAAUCCCAUACUGAUGUGUGUAGUGGGCUAACACUUGUGAAGCCACUGUGCUCCACCCUGGGCAAUAUAACAAGACCUCAUUUCU
rnacentral:SRP_RNA from 1 species